CCUACGGGUGGCAGCAGUGGGGAAUAUUGCACAAUGGGCGAAACCCUGAUGCAGCAACGCCGCGUGAGUGAUGACGGCCCUCGGGUUGUAAAGCUCCUUCUUUAGGGACGUUAAUGACGGUACCUGUGGAGGUAUCCACGUCUAACUACGUGCCAGCAGCCGCGGUAAUACGUAGGUGGCGAGCGUUGUCCGGAUUUACUGGGCGUAAAGGGAGCGUAGGCGGACUUUUAAGUGAGAUGUGAAAUACUCGGGCUCAACUUGAGUGCUGCAUUUGAAACUGUAAGUCUAGAGUGCAGGAGAGGAGAAUGGAAUUCGGAGUGUAGCGGUGAAAUGCGUAGAGAUUAGGAAGAACACCAGUGGCGAAGGC
rnacentral:rRNA from 1 species